GAUGAACGCUGGCGGCGUGCUUAACACAUGCAAGUCGAACGAUUGAAGCUGGAGCUUGCUCCGGCCGAUUUAGUGGCGGACGGGUGAGUAACGCGUGGGUAACCUGCCUCAUACAGGGGGAUAGCAGUUGGAAACGACUGGUAAAACCGCAUAAGCGCACGGUGUCGCAUGACACAGUGUGAAAACACUCCGGUGGUAUGAGAUGGACCCGCGUCCGAUUAGGUAGUUGGUGAGGUAAACGGCCCACCAAGCCGACGAUCGGUAGCCGACCUGAGAGGGUGAUCGGCCACAUUGGGACUGAGACACGGCCCAAACUCCUACGGGAGGCAGCAGUGGGGAAUAUUGGGCAAUGGAGGAAACUCUGACCCAGCAACGCCGCGUGGAGGAAGAAGGUUUUCGGAUUGUAAACUCCUGUUGUUGGGGAAGAUAAUGACGGUACCCAACAAGGAAGUGACGGCUAACUACGUG
rnacentral:rRNA from 1 species